GAUGAAGAACGUAGCGAAAUGCGAUAAGUAAUGCGAAUUGCAGAAUUCAGUGAAUCAUCGAAUCUUUGAACGCACAUUGCGCCCGCUAGUAUUCUGGCGGGCAUGCCUGUCUGAGCGUCAUUUCAACCCUCGCCCCCGGCUUUUGCUGGGAGCGGUGUUGGGGAUCGGCCGCCCGUCACUGGGAGGCCGGCCCCGAAAUAGAGUGGCGACCACGCCGUGUGCUCCUCUGCGUAGUAGUAAAUCACCUCGCAGGCGGACAGCGGUGCGGCCUGCCGUAAAACCCCCAACUCUUUCUGGUUGACCUCAGAUCAGGUAGGAAUACCCGCUGAACUUAAGCAUAUCAAUAAGCGGAGG
rnacentral:misc_RNA from 1 species